AUGUUUCGCUGUUAAAAGUUUUAUUUUCGUUUCGUUUUUCAUUUGUUCUCCGUCCGGCUCCUUCAUGUGGAUCUGAUCUCUUCCCGCAGGCCGGCGCUCCGUCUGGUUUCACCUCAGGAACAUCUGGAUGUUCUCUGUUUGUGCCGGAGCGUCGCUGCUGCUCCUCACUGGGAUGAAGCUGAUGGUGCGAACAGAUCUGCUGCUGCAGUAACUCAUCUCCGAGUCGCUGUGAUGGAUUCAGGCCGACGCAGGAGUCCAGAGCUUCAGUCAGCUGAUUUAUGAACGCUGCAGCCGGGAGGGAAAAGUUUGUAGGAAUCAUUUUGUGCUUCAUUGAGUCCCAUCGCUCCUCAGAGCGUCUCACACAGAAACAUCAGUUCAUGCAUCAUCACGAAGCAGAGCGCGGAUCGCAUGGAAAUCCUGUGUGAGGCGCCUUGGUAAGCAGGAGCCACUGCCUGCACAGAAACAAAAUGACGAAGGUCUGGAUCUGCUGCUCAGGAUCAGCCACUGGUAUCCAACGUCUGUUCAGGAUUCUGCAAAAAUACAAACAGUUUUAUCCCGGCAGCAGAGAUUCAAACAUUCAGAGUUCAGAGAGCAGGGUGACAGCCAAACAGUUUUACUUCCUGGAAAAACCCUGAGCAUUUAGAGAGGAAAACCAUCCAAACCAGGAAGUAGUCUGGUCCACAUGAAUCUGUCUGAUAACAUGUAGUUACGCUGCUGACCCAUAGAGGGCAGCAUUUGACUGCAGUGUCUUAUUCAUUCAUCACUAUUUUUCACAUUCUGUCUCUUAUUUAGAGUUUGGCUCAAGCAAAUCAGAAAUGGUGUAAAAAAUUAACAGAAAUUAUUAUUUUAAAACAUUUCUUUCUGGUAAAGUUUUGACUUGUUGACAUUUAUUCCUGUAUUUUGAAUUCCAGGAAAUCUUUUCCCUUUGCAGGUUUUCCAUCCUGUACUUUGUCCUUCUUUCCUUCUCACACUAUCACCUGCUCCUGUAUGGAAGAACUUUUGGUGCAAAAAUAUUGAUUGUAACUGGGAAGUUGAAGUCAGAGAAAAAUCCUCUAGUUUGGUAAUUCUAGAGUUUUUUCAGUCUUUCAUGAAAUUCUUAAGAACAAAAACAGAAAUGUCAUUUCUUAAGUCACACAUUUAAAAACUGUCUUGUAUUUUCAGUUUUGCCCCAGUUGAUCCAAAACAAAUGAUAUCUUUGAAAAAAAAACCUCAUGUUUGUCACAG